AACUCGCGCACUUGGGACCCAUUCCCACCUAGGACCAUAGGCUCAAGAUGGCCUGGUGGAUGCCGCCGGCACGCGCCUCUCCUCUGGCGGGAACCGAAGGCGCCGGUAGGUUUUCACACUUGCAGCCGAUCGGCUAAGAGAACGCGGGAUUCAGCCGAGAAGCCACUGGGAGCCCGAGGAGCGGAGCAGAGGCACCCAGGCAGCCUGCGCGGAGAAAUCGGAUCGGCUAGGACGGCCUGCAGCCCCUGCGCGCGGGGAAAGGGAAGAAGUCCUCCCCUACAAAGCGAGUUCACAAACUUGGAAGAAGCCACUUUCACAGGAUGCACAGAUCUCAACGGAAGGACACAGAAAACAUGAAAAAGCAAGGAAAUGGGGCGCCUCCAACGGAACCCAGUAAUUCUCCAGCAGCAGAUCCCCAUCCAAAAGAAACAGAAGACAUUUUGGAGAGAGAAUUGAAUAUACAUAUUAUACAGUUGUGGGCAUAAUACAAGCAUCAUUUGGAAAAGAACAGAGAAAAAAGAUGGAAGGAGUUACCGUACUGCAGGAAAAAAUUAUCAACUCCAGUGAUAUUAUUAAAUACAACCUAACGACACUUCUGAAGCUGAAGAAAUCACUGGAUGAAAUACAAAGUAAACUCAAAAGCUUCAGUGAUAGACUAGAACAAGAAGAAGAAAGACUCUCAAAACUUGAAAUCUGAAGCAUGUUUCUUAAAGAUUUAAAGGGUUAUUAUACUCUGGCCAUUAAUGUGAACGAAAUCUGCUGGGUUAAUUCUUAUACUGGGGUCUUGGAUAAUCAUUAAAGUGAAAUGAGAAUAAUUUCUUUUUGAGAUGA
ensembl:lncRNA novel transcript